rnacentral:rRNA from 1 species
UUGAAGAGUUUGAUCAUGGCUCAGAUUGAACGCUGGCGGCAGGCCUAACACAUGCAAGUCGAACGGUAACAGGAAACAGCUUGCUGUUUCGCUGACGAGUGGCGGACGGGUGAGUAAUGUCUGGGAAACUGCCUGAUGGAGGGGGAUAACUACUGGAAACGGUAGCUAAUACCGCAUAACGUCGCAAGACCAAAGAGGGGGACCCUCGGGCCUCUUGCCAUCGGAUGUGCCCAGAUGGGAUUAGCUUGUUGGUGGGGUAACGGCUCACCAAGGCGACGAUCCCUAGCUGGUCUGAGAGGAUGACCAGCCACACUGGAACUGAGACACGGUCCAGACUCCUACGGGAGGCAGCAGUGGGGAAUAUUGCACAAUGGGCGCAAGCCUGAUGCAGCCAUGCCGCGUGUAUGAAGAAGGCCUUCGGGUUGUAAAGUACUUUCAGCGGGGAGGAAGGGAGUAAAGUUAAUACCUUUGCUCAUUGACGUUACCCGCAGAAGAAGCACCGGCUAACUCCGUGCCAGCAGCCGCGGUAAUACGGAGGGUGCAAGCGUUAAUCGGAAUUACUGGGCGUAAAGCGCACGCAGGCGGUUUGUUAAGUCAGAUGUGAAAUCCCCGGGCUCAACCUGGGAACUGCAUCUGAUACUGGCAAGCUUGAGUCUCGUAGAGGGGGGUAGAAUUCCAGGUGUAGCGGUGAAAUGCGUAGAGAUCUGGAGGAAUACCGGUGGCGAAGGCGGCCCCCUGGACGAAGACUGACGCUCAGGUGCGAAAGCGUGGGGAGCAAACAGGAUUAGAUACCCUGGUAGUCCACGCCGUAAACGAUGUCGACUUGGAGGUUGUGCCCUUGAGGCGUGGCUUCCGGAGCUAACGCGUUAAGUCGACCGCCUGGGGAGUACGGCCGCAAGGUUAAAACUCAAAUGAAUUGACGGGGGCCCGCACAAGCGGUGGAGCAUGUGGUUUAAUUCGAUGCAACGCGAAGAACCUUACCUGGUCUUGACAUCCACGGAAGUUUUCAGAGAUGAGAAUGUGCCUUCGGGAACCGUGAGACAGGUGCUGCAUGGCUGUCGUCAGCUCGUGUUGUGAAAUGUUGGGUUAAGUCCCGCAACGAGCGCAACCCUUAUCCUUUGUUGCCAGCGGUCCGGCCGGGAACUCAAAGGAGACUGCCAGUGAUAAACUGGAGGAAGGUGGGGAUGACGUCAAGUCAUCAUGGCCCUUACGACCAGGGCUACACACGUGCUACAAUGGCGCAUACAAAGAGAAGCGACCUCGCGAGAGCAAGCGGACCUCAUAAAGUGCGUCGUAGUCCGGAUUGGAGUCUGCAACUCGACUCCAUGAAGUCGGAAUCGCUAGUAAUCGUGGAUCAGAAUGCCACGGUGAAUACGUUCCCGGGCCUUGUACACCGCCCGUCACACCAUGGGAGUGGGUUGCAAAAGAAGUAGGUAGUUUAACCUUCGGGAGGGCGCUUACCACUUUGUGAUUCAUGACUGGGGUGAAGUCGUAACAAGGUAACCGUAGGGAACCUGCGGUUGGAUCACCUCCUU